AUACGUAGGGGACGAGCGUUGUCCGGAAUUACUGGGCGUAAAGGGCGCGCAGGCGGAUAUUUAAGUCAGCUGUAAAAGGCAUGAGCUCAACUCAUGUAUGCGGCUGAAACUGGGUAUCUAGAGUGCUGGAGAGGUAGGCGGAAUUCCCGGUGUAGCGGUGAAAUGCGUAGAUAUCGGGAAGAACACCAGUGGCGAAGGCGGUUUGCUGGCUGCAUACUGACGCUGAAGCGCGAAAGCCAGGGGAGCAAACGGGAUUAGAUACCCCGGUAGUCCUGGCAGUAAACGAUGUAUGCUGGGUGUGAGACUAGCGAUAGUUUCGUGCCGAAGUUAACGCGAUAAGCAUACCGCCUGGGGAGUACGGUCGCAAGAUUGAAACUCAAAUGAAUUGACGGGG
rnacentral:rRNA from 1 species